rnacentral:lncRNA from 1 species
GAGUGUAACAGCCCGGCCCCGUACGACCGGCCCUGUUACCGCUCACAGCCCGUUACACCUCCUGGGGGCGGCCACUGUGAGCAGCUCUUAACAUCCCUUCACCCUCACGGGUUCCAGGCAGGAUUUGUCCCUCGGGGGAGCCAUUACGGCCCGCCCUAGCCCGAGUGGAUUUGGCCCAAAUUUCCCUAGAAGAAUUGGUACUCACUCUCACCAGACUAUUCCC